UCCGGCGUAGUCUAGUGGCUAUAGGAUACCUGGCUUUCACCCAGGAGGCCUGGGUUCGAUUCCCGGCGUCGGAA